GGGGCUGUAGUUAAAAAUAACGUCUAAUUUGCAAUUAGAAAGUGCUCCUAACCGAGCCUUCCUCA
rnacentral:tRNA from 1 species